rnacentral:snRNA from 1 species
AUAUAUACAGGCAGUACAUAUUCUAAAAUUGGAACGAUACAGAGAAGAUUAGCAUGGCCCCUACACAAGGAUGACACGCAAAUUCGUGAAGCGUUCCAUCUUUUU